rnacentral:rRNA from 1 species
AGUGAACGCUGGCGGUAGGCCUAACACAUGCAAGUCGAACGGCAGCACAGUAAGAGCUUGCUCUUACGGGUGGCGAGUGGCGGACGGGUGAGGAAUACAUCGGAAUCUACUUUUUCGUGGGGGAUAACGUAGGGAAACUUACGGUAAUACCGCAUACGACCUACGGGUGAAAGCAGGGGAUCUUCGGACCUUGCGCGAUUGAAUGAGCCGAUGUCGGAUUAGCUAGUUGGCGGGGUAAAGGCCCACCAAGGCGACGAUCCGUAGCUGGUCUGAGAGGAUGAUCAGCCACACUGGAACUGAGACACGGUCCAGACUCCUACGGGAGGCAGCAGUGGGGAAUAUUGGACAAAGGGCGCAAGCCUGAUCCAGCCAUACCGCGUGGGUGAAGAAGGCCUUCGGGUUGUAAAGCCCUUUUGUUGGGAAAGAAAAGCAGCAGGUUAAUACCCCGCUGUUCUGACGGUACCCAAAGAAUAAGCACCGGCUAACUUCGUG